ACAGUAAGGAUAGCAAACAUGAUUACGCAACACCAGAAAUCACUGCAGCACAGACUGGAACAGAAUAUGACACAUUAGACAACCUGAAUGACAACCAAGGCCAAAGCAACAACAGUUAUGAAAACGAGAGAGUCAGCGCUUUUUGACAUACUUAAUAUUGUUUCAUUUCUUUUAAGCAUUUUUCUUCUUAAAUAAAGCGUAGCACAAG